AUUCCAGUUUAUCCUGCUGGAGAAUGCUGCUAUCUAGCUUGGACUAAGCCAUGCAAGUCCUUCGAGAGAAGGCAAACUGCUGAGUAACACGUAGCUAAUCUACCCUUAGUUCUGGAAUAACUUCGGGAAACUGAGGAUAAUACCAGAUAGGUAAUAAUGAUUGGAAUAUCUUAUCAUUCAAAACUUUGGUGACUAAGGAUGAGGCUGCGGCCUAUCAGGUUGUUGUCGGGGUAAAAGCCCAACAAGCCGAUGACGGGUAGGGGCGCUGAGAGGCGGAGCCCCCAGAAGGACUCUGAGACACUAGUCCUAGCCCUACGGGGUGCAGCAGGCGCGAAACUUUUGCAAUGCUCGAAAGAGUGACAAAGCAAGCUAGAGUGUGUUUCCAUAUUGGAAACACUUUUGUCUUGUGUAAAAAGCAAGAUGAAUAAGGGCUGGGUAAGACCGGUGCCAGCAGCCGCGGUAAUACCGGCGGCCCAAGUGGUAUUCGCAUUUACUGGGUCUAAAACAUUCGUAGCCGGCCUUGUAAGUCUUUUGUUAAACUUUUACGCUUAACGUAAAACUUGCAGAAGAUACUGCGAGGCUAGGGACUGGGAGACGUGAUGAGUACGAUAAGGGUAGCGGUAAAAUGCUCUGAUCCUUAUUGGACUAACAAUGGCGAAGGCACAUCACGAGAACAGCUCCGACGGUGAGGAAUGAAAGCCAAGGGCGCAAAACGGAUUAGAUACCCGUGUAGUCUUGGCUGUAAACGCUGCCCACUAAACAUUGUGAUCUCCUCGAGAGAUUGCGGUGCUGUAGCGAAGGCGGAAGUGGGCUACCUGGGAAGUAUAGUCGCAAGAUCGAAACUUAAAGGAAUUGGCGGGGAGACACUACAAGGGGUGAUCGCGUGCGGUUUAAUUAGAUUUCACACCGUGAACCUCACCAGGAGCGACAGCAGAAUGAAGGUCAGAUUAAAGUUCUUACCUGACACGCUGAGAGGAGAUGCAUGGCCGUCGUCAGCCUGUGUUGUGAGAUGAUCUGUUAAAUCAGGUAACAGGCGAGACCCGUGUUUGUAGUUGCUAUUCGGUAAGAAAGCACACUACAGAGACUGCCUUCGUAAGGAGGAGGAAGGUGCGGGCAACGAUAGGUGAGUACGUCCCGAAUCCCCUGGGCUACACGCGCGCGUCAAUGGUAGUAACAAUGGGAUGCAAUGUCGAAAGGCAAAGCUAACCCCCUAAAUGCUAUCUUAGUCCAGAUUGAGGUUUGCAACUCAACCUCAUGACGAUGGAAUCCCUAGUAAUCGGACGUUAGCAGCGUCCGGUGAAUACGUCCCUGUCUCUUGCACACACCGCCCAUCAAUCCGACCGAGUUAUAUCUGGGUGAAGCUUUCUCGAAGAGAAGAGCCUUGGUAUGGCAAGGUAGGGUAAGUUGUCACAAGGUAUCCGUAGGGGAACCUGCGGAUGGAUCACCUCCU
rnacentral:rRNA from 1 species